GGCAGAGUGGCCAAGUGGUCUAAGGCUUUAGUUUAAAUUUCUAGUAUCUUUGGAUGCGUGGGUUCAAAUCCCACCUCUUCCA
rnacentral:tRNA from 1 species